UUAAGUGAUAACACAUAGCAGAGGUGUCUGGGAGCUAUAGAAAUCAGGUUGCGUGGGAAACAAACAAGGAAGAUGAAAUACUACUGGUUUUCUUUGAACUUAAUACUCUUUCUUUUUCUGGACAUCUGCUAUUCAGCACCGGCAGAAAUACUUGGAACCAAUGCAGUAGAAGAACUAGUUGGUUCCCUUCCUAUUGUCACUAAACUACUUAACAUUCUUAAUGUACCGUUAGGUAUACUUGGGUAGUGUUUAGGCCUACAUAAAAAUAAAUUCUUGUGUUUUGAAAA